rnacentral:rRNA from 1 species
GAUGAACGCUGGCGGCGUGCCUAAUACAUGCAAGUCGAGCGAACGGACGGGAAGCUUGCUUUUCUGAUGUUAGCGGCGGACGGGUGCGUAACACGUGGUUAACCUAACUCUACGACUGGGAUGACUUCGGGAAACAGGAGCUAAUAUCGGAUAAUAUUUUGACCCGCGUGGUUCAAAAGUGAAAGACGCUCUUGCUUUCAGUUAUAGAUGGAUACGGGCUGCAUUAGUUAGUUGGUAAGGUAACGGCUUACCAAGGCAACUAGGCAUACCCGACCGGAAAGGGAGGAUGCCCACACUGGAAGUGAGAAAGGGUCCACACUCUUACGGGAGGACACAGCAGGGAAUCUUCCGCAAAGGGGGAAAGCCUAACGGAGCAACGCCGCGUAAGGGAUGAAGGUCUUCGGAUCGUAAAACUCUGUUAGUAGGGAAGAACAUAUGCGCAAGUAACUGUGCACAUCUUGACGGUACCUAGACAGAAAGCCACGGCUAACUACGUG